AUGUAUGCUGUGUUUUUGUGUGUCCGGCUGCCCUUGUUCAUGAGUGUGUUGUGCAUGUAUGUAUUUUGGUUGUGUGUUGCCUGUGCCCAUGUGCCUGUUCUCAUGUGUCGUGUGUAUAUUUUGUAUGUGUGCGUGUGUGCUUGUGUGUUGCAUGUGUGUGCCCAUGUUCGUGUGCAUGUUGUUUACAUGUGUAUUUUGUGUGUGCACAUGUGUUGCCUGUGCCCUGUGCUCCUGUGUUCUGCACGUGUGCAUUGUGUGCACAAUGUGUGCAUGUGUGUUGCCUGUUCCCAUGCACGUCUGCUCGUGCAUCUUGUGCACAUGUUUUGUGUGUAUGUGUGCACAUUUUUGUGUGCAUGUGUUGUGUGCAUAUGUACGUGUCUUGUGUGUUGCAUUCACAUACGUGUAUUGCAUUUGCACACGUGUUGCAUGCACAGGUGUGUACCUGUGUCGUGUGCACAUGUGUGUUGUGUAUGUUAUGUGCAUACGUGCAUUUUGUGUGGUGUGCACAUGUGUUUUGUGUAUGUGCAUGUGUUGUGUGCACGUGUUUUUGUGUUGCGUCGCCUGUGUUUUGUGUCACGUGCAUAUGUGUUUUGUGUGUUGCGUGCAUGUUUCGCGUAUUGCAUGCACAUGUGUUUUUGUGUAUUGUGUGCGUGUUUUGUGUGUAUGUGUUGCAUGAACAUGUGUUUUGUGUAUGUGUUGUGUGCACCUGCUUUGUGUGUACGUGUGUUGUGUGCACCUGUUUUUGUGUUUGCACGUUUUUUUGUCACACGCAUAUAUGCGUUUUGUGUGAGUGUUGCGUGCACAUGUGUUUUUUUGUGUGUGUUAUGUGCACAUGUAUGUUGCCUGUGCCUGUGUGCACGUGUGCAUGUGAUUUGUUGCGGGCAGGCCUGGAGUGCCUCCAGUCAGUUUUUCCACAGCCAAGGGCUGUGUGGUCAGACAGCGCAUGGGGAGGACUGGGUGUGGCUGGCCACCGGGUGUAGCCUGAGAGCGAGGUCACCCCGACCUGGUUUCUGUCCUGGCCUGUCUGCUGCCCACCCAGCAGUGUGGGUGGACCCCCAGCCUCGCCCCUCGCCUCUGCCCUCUCACCCCCAACUUCAGGGAGGUCUGCUGGCACCUGAACCCUCGGGCUGGGACGAAGAGCAGACUGCCAGCUACAUGGUCACCAUGCCUCCCUGUUGGGAGGCGCAGUCACCUGUCACAGGCCCCGGGCCUCAGGAAAGGGCUGAGCCCUGGCAGUGA
rnacentral:lncRNA from 13 species